CUUUUUUUCUCCAUGAUGGCCCUAAUACAGUACUUCUUUGUACUGUGACAUCUAAUCUCUGUAAAAAACAAAUGCAAUGCCACAUGAGAGCGUUUAAGCUUCUCAAGAGCAGAGAAUCCAAAUGAAAUCAUCUGUUGCGGCUUUAAAAUAUGAAAAGAUGUGUCGAAAAUGAUAUUGGCACGGCUCGACGACGUGCUGCCGAGCGGACGAACAGAAUGAGCGGAACUGUAUCGGCAGGAAAGGGAUGUCCACUGUGACGUCGCUGAUGAAGCCCCGACGGAAAAAGAUUGUAAAUAGAAAAGCCUUCAAAGUGUUCCAUGUCGCUAUCAAAUGUGACUGGAUGCUUGCCCCCCUUUACACGGUAAAUCAGAAUCAGAAUCAUCUUUAUUUGCCAAGAGUGUCCCAAAAACACACAAGGAAUUUGUCUCCGGGAGUUGGAGCCGCUCUAGUACGACAACAGACCGUCAUUGGACAGAGAACGCUUUGGAGACAUACGGACAUUGAGAAAAGCAGGCACUGAGCAAGGAAGGGUUGCUCGUUGUGUGGUAAUGCCGGUACAAUUUGGAUUUGAUUUGAUUGGAUUGGGUUUUUUUGGACAAUUGUGCAAAAAGAUGCAGAGUCCUUUCGCACUAAGAGCAGUUGGAAAGACUAAUAUUGCAAUAGUCCGGCGCAAUGACCGUUGCGCAAAGGCCGCCGAGACUUCAAGCGAGUAGCGCGAUAAUCUGGGACAAUGUCGAUUGUGCAAACGGAGUCAGAUGCUACUCGGGCAUGAGUGGCCGGUAUUGGUCAACGACAGAUACGCAAAUAGUGCAGCGUGGCGAGACUACUCGAGUGAGUGCACGAGUCAUGUAUAAUUGAAAAAAAAAGAUUGGCGGCACGUUGCAACGGAAUUGUGGGUGAGCUGUUUAAGAAGUCGAUUGCGAGAGGGAAGAAGCUGUCGGAACGUCUACUCGUUGUAGUUUGCAUUGAUCGGUAGCGCCUACACAAAUUGCCCCCCCACCACCACCACCACUUUGUCCCUCAGCUGUUUUUUUCCGCUCGCCCGCCAACGCGUCUCACUCGGCACUCGACCUCUGCCGUUCGUUCGGCCCCCAGGGAGGGAGCCGCCAAGGGUUCCCGUUCGCUCCGAGCCUGCGAGCGGCCCGUUAUAGAAGCCCGUGGGGAAAGGGUCUUAGGAAAAGGUCCCAAAUGUUGAAAAUAGAAGUAAUGAACUUCGUUACGGCCGCUUUCGGCCUUAUUCUUAAGUCCGCCGUCUGCAGAUAAAGCCAGCCAACUGUUGUAUUUUGUUUGUCACCCCAACGACGUCUCUCAUUAGACUGAAUUACGUACAGUAGUUGGCGUUUUGCUGCAAUGUGCAAAAGACAUCGGAGGAGGUUUUUCCCUUCGACAACGGGGUUUCAUACAGUAUUUAUGCCUUUAUUUUGCUAUUUACGCACGGAUGAACACAUUUCGUACAGUAGCGAUGAAACGAUUCACUUAUUCCGACCAAAGUUUGAGGUCAACAAUGAACGAUAGAUGCCGUUGUGCCAAACUGUACGCCCUCAAACCGUCGUUAGGAUUCCGACGGGCCGCUUGUGCAUCAGCGAGAUCCGUCGGGACCAAAAUGUAAAGACGGGGGCAAAGGUUGACCAAAACGCAGCGCGGUUGGAUUGUUGUGAAACAUAUUGUUUCGAUAUUGUGCUUUCGUUAGUGCUGUUUUGAAUAAAAGAAGUCCACAUUCAGCAUCAUUUUUGGGGGGUUGUUUUCAUGCUCUAAUACGUACGUACUGUCUCAUAUUUGUGACUGUACAGCGGUGCGCGCGGAACUAGCGGAUGUGAAUCACUGACGCGUCGCAGGUCUGUCACAUCACGUCGUACGAUUCGUGCCACCGUAGCGUCCGUGACGUACAAUACAUCAUGUGGUACUGUUAAUCGUGUCGUGUAUUAUGCGUGUAUUAUGAGGAGCCAAGCGUUUUGCCUUGUCCUCCUGAUGUGGGUCACCGGGGUCACGCGGUGGAUCCAGACCUGCAGGAAUGAUUGUGGGUGGGGCUAGGUGUAGUGCUUUGCAGUACAAAAAAAGAAAAAGACAAGCAUAUAUAGUAUAGCAAGGUGUUUUUCCAAGAAACAGCCAUGUCUAGUCAAGUGUUUUUGGAAGAAGAAAAAAAGACAGCAUGACAUAAAUGUGUUGACUCGUGCGCAAAAUGACUAGUAACGUGUAGUUGUACAACCAGUGAGCACAAAGAGCGUAGUAGUACGCGGGCCUGAAGCGGGAGGUCAAAUAAACGCUGAAAGGUUACACGGCUACCAGUUGAGCCUAUUGUCAUCCGAGUGCAGCGCGGUACACUCGCGAGGUUUCAUUGCAUACGAGAGGAGGGUUUUGCUUUCUUGCGCGUGACGGGGCUGCGUGCUCGUGCGUGUGUGUGUGCACGCGCCCCGAGCGCGCACGUUUGGCCAGCACGCUGAUUGGAGGGGGCGUGGUUUCGUUGAAUGGAUAAGUGCGCUCACCUGCGCGCAGGCUCCUUUUGUGUGUCUGUGUGCGACGUCGUCGUGGGAUCCGCCGGCGGAAAGACUUGCGCCGUCUUGAGUCACCUUGCACGCCAAAUCCUCAGAGGACCAGUUCGACCUGAAGUGAUUGCGCCCCCUGCUGGCGUCGAGGACGAAUUGAACGCAGCGCCCACUUCCGGUUUCGGGAUUUGGGUAAGCUAGCUCGUUCGCUGUGGCUAGCUCGCCAAAAACGAGCCGUCAGUCACUUUCAACGCUAUAUAAAGAUUUGACUCGCUCCUAUGCAGAGAAAAUUGAUGUGGUAUUAUUUGUGGCUAUUUCGCUCUUCAUAAUGAAAGUCGGCAGGCACGCGGCAGUUGAGUGCGUGAGGUCCUCUGUUGCAGAAGAGGUGAAUAGCGGACGCAAGGGAACAUGGAGGCCAACGUCUGUCCUGGCUGAGUCUGAAGUUUCCCCUGGUCCCAAACAUUGUGCAAUGAACUUCCCAUGGCACCACCAGUUGUGUUUAAUGUUUCUCUAGCCUCCACUUUGCAUUGAAUUUGUCAUCAGUCAACUUAGCUAUUAGACUGUGUAAGUUACCCUCCUGACUCAAAGUGUCUAGAGUAGUGGACGUUAUGUGCAAUAAAAGUCAAAGCGUGUAGAAAGCGUGUUUUGUUUCCUCUUUCCGUCUUCCGUCAAAGGUCAAAGUCUAAGUCGACGUCGACUUAGACUUAAACUUUAACUGCGACUGCGACGUCUUCGAGGGUCCAAAGCAACAAAAGGAGGGAAGGAAAGGACAAAAACUGCAUUUUUCCAAAAAAGCUUUAUUCAAAACAAACAGCCAUAGGAAGGCAACAUUGCAAGAAACAUGAAGUGAGCUGUUGGAGGACAGCAUGUGGACCUGCAAAACAAGACAACAUGCAAUCAUUUGGGGAGAUGGUUCAUGACUUACCAUUGCUGAGGAAUCAUCCUGACGUGAAGCCAUUUCCUCCCACUGGCUUUGGAACACAGCAUGAAUGAUGCACUACUUAAAGUCGGAAUCAUUGCCUUACCUCGUUGUCUGUACCAAAUGACUUCUGCUGAAAAUGCUUUUCAAUA